CAUAGUUCAUGUCUGUGGCAUCCAUCUGCUCUUCUUCAAUCAAAUCACCAGCAAACAUAUUUGAAAAACUAAAUUUUAAAAUCCAUGUUGCUAAUUUUGACGCAGUUUAGGUCAUUAGAUCACACAAUUCCAAAUCAACAUCUGAUCGUACAACUCCUAGAAUAACAAGACAGAUAAUUAGAGUCAAUUAUAGUAGAAGAAUCUCAAAAAUUAUCUCUGGUUCAUUCAAUAUAUAUUUUGAUUUACGUUCAAUAUACCAUCUCGUACCAUCUCUAUACAUAUUUGAUCAGUUUUUCCUUAUGACAUCCACGGUGCCCGUGAAGAAACCUUACUAAGGAGAGGCCAAGUGUUGGCCAGGUUGCAGAUGAAGCCAGACCUGGCCAAAGGAAUGCGAAGCCAACAGACGGACGACCGAAUGAAGAAGAUGUUAACCCACAGGCGGCGGAUGUGUCCAAGAAGCAGGGACCACGACCACGACCAGGACCCGGACCAGUCGUCCCCCCGAGGGUAGGGGUCUUUGGCUGGGGCUGAGACUGAAGCCCAGAAGAAGCGUAAAGAGCAACAACAGCAGCAUAAGCAAAACGACCAACAACUAAGAGAUGAAGGAACGGAAGAGUACCAACGACAACGACCCUGGGAGCAAAUUCAAUGCAAUAAUAAAAAAAAAACUUUCAGAAAAUAUAACUUGGACGCGCCGAUUUAUAUAUACUCUUGCAGUGUGAUGAAUAAUAAAAGCCUGGCUUUCUUUCUGUAAAUACAA